UAGGGAAUCUUCCGCAAUGGACGCAAGUCUGACGGAGCAAUGCCGCGUGAGUGAUGAAGGUUUUCGGAUUGUAAAACUCUGUUGUUAGGGAAGAACAAGUACCGUUCGAAUAGGGCGGUACCUUGACGGUACCUAACCAGAAAGCCCCGGCUAACUACGUGCCAGCAGCCGCGGUAAUACGUAGGGGGCAAGCGUUGUCCGGAAUUAUUGGGCGUAAAGGGCACGCAGGCGGUCUUCUAAGUCUGAUGUGAAAUCCCACGGCUUAACCGUGGUAGGUCAUUGGAAACUGGAGGACUUGAGUGCAGAAGAGGAGAGUGGAAUUCCACGUGGAGCGGUGAAAUGCGUAGAGAUGUGGAGGAACACCAGUGGCGAAGGCGACUCUCUGGUCUGUAACUGACGCUGAGGUGCGAAAGCGUGGGUAGCGAACAGG
rnacentral:rRNA from 1 species